rnacentral:rRNA from 1 species
UACGUAGGGUGCAAGCGUUGUCCGGAAUUAUUGGGCGUAAAGAGCUCGUAGGCGGUCUGUUGCGUCGGCUGUGAAAACCCGGGGCUCAACCCGGGCCUGCAGCCGAUACGGGCAGACUAGAGUUCGGCAGGGGAGACUGGAAUUCCUGGUGUAGCGGUGAAAUGCGCAGAUAUCAGGAGGAACACCGGUGGCGAAGGCGGGUCUCUGGGCCGAUACUGACGCUGAGGAGCGAAAGCGUGGGAGCGAACAGG